rnacentral:rRNA from 1 species
CCCUUAGAUGUUCUGGGCCACACGCGCGCUACACUGAUGCAUUCAACGAGCCUAUCCUUGACCGACAGGUCCGGGUAAUCUUUGAAUCUGCAUCGUGACGGGGAUAGAUUAUUGCAAUUAUUAAUCUUCAACGAGGAAUGCCUAGUAGGCGCAAGUCAUCAGCUUGCGUCGAUUACGUCCCCGCCCUUUGUACACACCGCCCGUCGCUCCUACCGAUUGGGUGUGCUGGUGAAAUGUUCGGAUCGGCCGUUUGUCGCGGUUUCCGCGUCAUGUGGCUGAGAAGUUCAUUAAACCCUCCCACCUAGAGGAAGGAGAAGUCGUAACA